rnacentral:lncRNA from 1 species
AGUCUCUGCCACGCAGCAUCCUGAGGAUUCCUUAAGAGCCAGUAAUAAUAUUACAACCCUUUAAAAACAGCCCUUUGUCUGAGCAGGUUUCUGUCCCGUUCCACCUAGAACCAUACCUGGCCUGCACCGAGCACAAACAAACCGCCACACAGGCAUUUCUUUAUCAUCCACGCUACAGCAAGGAACACAAUUUCCCGCUCAUAUUGUCAGGCAUAGCAGCACCUCAUCACUGAGGCCAUGUUAUAUCGCUUAAAGACAGGACCCGGGGAUACAGCCAGAUUUCAUGUGGUGAAGCCAGCCAGGCGUUCCCUGUAAGUUCCCAUAACUUACUGACACAAACAGUAAAACCAUGCUCAUUCCCAUUGGCCUCCCACGUGAGCUGUGUGACACAACUUACCAUUUAAGGGUAUAAAAACCACCCUGACCCUAUUCUCCAUCCAUUCUGCGAGUUCCCCUUCUAUGAGAAAGCAGCACGUGGGUCCCGGCACAGGGCUCGCUCUGGGUCUUCCCCUUCAUGGUUUUUGCACAGCUCCAAACCAGCCACUUCCAUUACAGCAGCCUCCCUCUUCCUCCAGUAGAUUUCCAGGCAGCUUGUGACUCUGGGAGCUGCCAUCCUCUGGCAUCUGGACAGCAUCAAGUAAAAGUUUCUAAAGAACAGCUAAAUUUACCACCUAUAUGUGGUGUUACAAUCUGUAUGGGACAAGAUACAAGGCUUGUCAGCUGCUUCCAAAAAUUCCUUCGAUCCAGAAUCAAUGUGGACUUCUGGCAAGUUGCCCCACAGAUGACUCUCUGUUCCAGGAAUGCAUGACAAAGGAAGAUUGCCAUCAGCCACAUUCCAAGAUGAGAACAGCCUAAUCUUAGCCUCGCCAAGGAGGACCACUGGACGGAGAGGCUUCCUGGGAAUAAACAUGAUAGGCCAGAGGGGAGGCCAGAGGAGGAGGAAGCAAGCCCGCUCCCACGAGGACAAGGAGGGCUUAUCCCCCCUCCCUGAAACCUCCACUCUUGCAGCUGCCCAGAUGUUCUGAGGGCGAAUGUCAGGAGGAGGGAGGCUUUUCCUGGUGCUGUUUAUUUAGCGCUCUCUCUCUCUCUCUCUCUCCCUCCCUCCCUCUCUCUCUCUCUCUUGGUUGGAUCCUCCGGCUGCUGCUGAUAACAGGAGACCGUCACCCGCGUGAAGGGCAGAGCAAAGGAAGGUCGGUUCCUCUGACUUUCCCAGAGUUGGGACCUGAACCGCCUCAGUCCAGCUUUAACUCUGGCGUGUCCCAAAGGUGCUUUUCCAAAUGGCAAAUGGACUUUCUUGGGGGGGGUUUCUUGAAAACAUUUUGCUUCUCAUGCAAGAAGUUUCUUCAGUUCUUCAAGGAAGAAAAAAACCAAGAAAGUCCUUUUGGAAAAGCCCCUUUGGGACAACCAUGACCUGGAUGACUGAAAACCGCCAUGGACAUUUUACGCCAGAAGGGCUGUGGUGCACAUCGGAUGUCAUAAAUUGCCCAGACUUUCCCAACAAACCGAGUCGUGUUGAAGUCCUGGGUGUCUGAUGGUCUUGGAACUAAGCUGCUGGAGGGUUUCUUUCUCUGCUGGGUGAUUUCGCUUGGCAGCUGCUCCCUCCAAGGGUGUCAAUUAGUUCUUCUGGCAUAGAAGGUGGCAGCCCCUAAAAAGG